rnacentral:rRNA from 1 species
UACGUAGGUGACAAGCGUUGUUCCGGAUUACUGGGCGUAAAGAGCGCGCAGGCGGUCGUUCAAGUCGAGUGUGAAAGCCCCCGGCUCAACUGGGGAGGGUCAUUCGAUACUGAUCGACUCGAAGGCAGGAGAGGGAAGUGGAAUUCCCGGUGUAGUGGUGAAAUGCGUAGAUAUCGGGAGAACACCAGUGGCGAAGGCGACUUCCUGGCCUGUUCUUGACGCUGAGGCGCGAAAGCUAGGGGAGCAACGGGGAU